UAAAGCAAAGAAGAGCGCAGAGUGAAUGCCUUGGCAUUGAGAGCCGAAGAAGGACGUGGUUAACUGCGAUAAGCAGCGGGGAGUUGUAAGCAAGCAUUGAUCCGCUGAUUUCCGAAUGGAGCAAUCCGCAUGAAGUAGUUCAUGCAUCCAUAUGUGAAUCAAUAGCAUAUGGAGGGGAACCGCCUGAACUGAAACAUCUAAGUAGGGCGAGGAAGAGAAAUCAACCGAGAUUCCGCUAGUAGUGGCGAGCGAACGCGGAAGAGGCCAAACCAAGAGUAGUAAUACUUUUGGGGUUCGGACUGAGUACGGUAUUGACAAAGGUUAGUGGAAUGAAAUGGGAAGUUCAACCAUAGAGCGUGAGAGUCGCGUAUACGAAAACUUGAGUCAGCCAUCAGUAUCCAGAGUACCGCCGGACACGUGAAACCCGGUGGGAAUACGGGGGGACCACCCUCCAAGCCUAAAUACUCACCAAUGACCGAUAGUGUAUAGUACUGUGAAGGAAAGGUGAAAAGAACCCCUGGCGGGGAGUGAAAAAGAACCUGAAACCUUGUGCCUACAAGCACAUAGAGCACAUCAACGUGUGAUAUGGUACCUUUUGUAGAAUGGUCCGGCGAGUGAAUGUCACUAGCGAGGUUAAGGACUUAAGGUCUGCAGCCGAAGCGAAAGCGAGUCUUAAUAGGGCGACAAUAGUUAGUGGUAUUCGACCCGAAACCGAGUGACCUAGCCAUGAGCAGGCUGAAGUGGAGGUAAAACUCCAUGGAGGGCCGAACCCACUCCCGUUGAAAUGGUAGGGGAUGACUUGUGGCUAGCGGAGAAAUUCCAAUCGAACUCGGAGAUAGCUGGUUCUCUCCGAAAUAGCUUUAGGGCUAGCCUCAAAUAACAUUACCGCAGGUAAAGCACUGAAUGGGCUAGGGGGCGAAAGCUUACUGAACCCUAUCAAACUAAGAAUGGCGGAUAAUGAAUAUUUGGGAGUCACACUACGUGAGAUAAGUUUCGUGGUGGAAAGGGAAACAGCCCAGACCCACAGCUAAGGUCCCAAAGUACAGUUAAGUGGAAAAGGAUGUGAAGUUGCGCAGACAACCAGGAUGUUGGCUCAGAAGCAGCCACUCAUUCAAAGAGUGCGUAAUAGCUCACUGGUCGAGUGAUUUUGCGCCGAAAAUUUAACGGGGCUAAACUGUACACCGAAGCUUGGGAAUAUACCUCUGGUAUGUUGGUAGGAGAGCGUCGUAUGCGGGGUGAAGUCGUAGCGAAAGCGGCGGUGGACUGCAUAGGAGUGAGAAUGCCGGAAUGAGUAGCGAGAAUUAUGUGAGAAUCAUAAUGGCCGAAAGUCUAAGGUUUCCUGAGGAAGGUUCGUCCUCUCAGGGUUAGCCGGGAGCUAAGGUGAGGCGGAAACGCGUAGCCGAUGCACAUACGGUAGAAAUUCCGUAGCCUCCGAAGAUUUAAGCACAGGGACACUUUUGAAGGGCUGAGCCGGGCGUUGGUUGCCCCGGUCGAAAGGGACACGAUUGAGUGGAAGUCAGUUUGGAAAGAGGCGAGAAAAGCUGUGUGUAUAUGGAAGGAGCCCGUACCGCAAACCGACACAGGUAGACAGGAAGAAGAUUCUAAGGCCAGCGGGAGAAGGGUUGUUAAGGAACUCGGCAAGUUGACCCCGUAACUUCGGGAGAAGGGGUGCUUACGAAGGUAAGCCGCAGAGAAUAGGCCCAAGCGACUGUUUAGCAAAAACACAGCUCUAUGCUAAAUCGAAAGAUGACGUAUAUGGGGUGACACCUGCCCGGUGCUGGAAGGUUAAGAGGAGAUGUGAGAGCAUUGAAUUGAAGCCCCAGUAAACGGCGGCCGUAACUAUAACGGUCCUAAGGUAGCGAAAUUCCUUGUCAGGUAAGUUCUGACCCGCACGAAUGG
rnacentral:rRNA from 1 species